rnacentral:lncRNA from 1 species
UUCAGGGCUGUUUUUGGGGUUGUUUUGGGGUUUUUUAGGGUUUUUUUUUCCGGGAUAUUUUUUGGGCAUUUUUGGGGCUGUUUUGGGCUGUUUUCAGGCUGGUUUUUUUUUGGUUUUUGGGCAUUUUUCGGCCUGUUUUGGGCUGUUUUUCGGGCUGUUUUUUUUGUUUUUCGGGCUGUUUUUUUGGGUUUUUCGGGCUGUUUUUCAGACUGUUUUUCGGGCUGUUGUUUUGGUUUCUCCAGGCAUUUUUCAGCCUGUUUUGGGCUGUUUUUUGGGCUGGUUUUUUUUUUGUUUCUCCGGGCUGUUUUGGGGCUCUUUUUCGGGCUGUUUUUUGGUUUUUUCGGCCUGUUUUGGGCUGUUUUUUGGCCUGUUUUGGGCUGUUUUUCGGGCUGUUUUUUUUGUUUUUUCAGCCUGUUUUGGGCUGUUUUUCAGGCUGUUUUUCUGGGCUGUUUUUCAGGCUGUUUUUUUAAUUUCUCUGGGCAUUUUUUGGCCUGUUUCGGGCUGUUUUUUGGGCUGUUUUUUGUUUUUCGGGCUGUUUUUUGUUUCUUCAUGCUGUUUUUUGUUUUUCCGGCUGUUUUUUUGUUUUUUCAUGCUGUUUUUUGUUUUUCCGGCUGUUUUUUGUUUUUUUCAGGCUGUUUUUUGUUUUUCUGGCUGUUUUUUGUUUUUUCUGGCUGUUUUUUGUUUUUCGGGCUGAUAUUUUGAUUUUUCUGGGCAAUUUUUGGCCUGUUUUGGGCUGUUUUUCGGGCUGUUUUUUGUUUUUUCAGCCUGUUCCGGGCUGUUUUUUAGCUGUUUUUUGGCCGUUUUCGGGCUGUUUUUUGUGUAUUUUCCAGGCUGUUUUUUGGGUGUUUUCAGGCUGGUUUUGGGUAUUUUCCGGGCUGUUUUUUGGCUGUUUUUCGGCCGUUUUCGGUCUGUUUUUUGUUUUUUGGGCUGGUUUUUAGUUUUUUUGGCUGUUUUUUGUUUUUCAUGCUGUUUUUUGUUUUUCCGGCUGUUUUUCGUUUUUUCAGCCUGUUUCGUGCUGUUUUUUCGGGCUGUUUUUUGUUUUUUCGGGCUGUUUUUUGGGGUUUUUUGCUGUUUUUUUUUUCAUGCUGUUUUUUGGUUUUUCCGGCUGUUUUUGGUUUUUUUGGCUGUUUUUUGGUUUUUUUGGGUUGUUUUUUGGUUUUUUUGGCUGGUUUUUUUUUUUUUUUUUUUUUUUUUUUUUUUUUUUUUCCGGGCUGUUUUUUGGCUGGUUUUUGGCCGUUUCCGGGCUGUUUUUUGUGUAUUUUCCGGGCUGUUUUUUGGUUUUUCAGGCUGGUUUUGGGUAUUUUCCGGGCUGUUUUUUGGCUGGUUUUUGGCCGUUUCCGGGCUGUUUUUAGUAUAUUUUCCGGGCUGUUUUUUGGGUGUUUUCAGGCUGUUUUUUGGGUAUUUCCCGGGCUGUUUUUUGGCUGUUUUUUGGCUGUUUCCAGGCUGUUUUUUGUGUAUUUUCCGGGCUGUUUUUUGGCUGUUUUUUGGCCGUUUUCAGGCUGUUUUUUGGGUAUUUCCCGGCUGUUUUUUGGCUGUUUUUUGGCCGUUUUCAGGCUGUUUUUUGGCUGUUUUCCGGGCUGUUUUUCCGGCUGUUUUUUGGCCGUUUUUGGGCUGUUUUUUGUGUAUUUCCCGGCUGUUUUUUGGCCGUUUUUUGGCCGUUUUCGGGCUGUUUUUUGGUUUUUGCUCACCAUGCGCAGGUAGUUCAUCAGGCUGGUGCCGUGGGGCCAGAUGCCGGGCGCGGCGCAGGCCAGCGGCCGCCCGCCGAUCUCCUGGCUGCGGUUCAGCUCCCGCACGGCGCCCACCACCACGUGCACGGCGUCGAAGAGCAGCGCGGCCGACAGCUGCGCCACCGGGGACACCUUUCCUCAACUUUUUACCACUUUUUGUCUUUUUUUUGUCCAUUUUUUUGUCAUUUUUUGGCAAUUUUUUGUCAAUUUUUUGGUCAUUUUUUGUCACUCUUCGUCCAUUUUUUAUCAUUUUUUGGUCUUUUUUUUGGUCAAUUUUUUGGUCAAUUUUUUGGUCAUUUUUUUGGUCAUUUUUUGUCACUCUUCGUCCAUUUUUUAUCAUUUUUUUGGUCUUUUUCUUUUGUCAAUUUUUUAGUCUUUUUUUUGUCAAUUUUUUGGUCAUUUUUUGGCAAUUUUUUGUCAAUUUUUUUGUCAUUUUUUUGUCACUCUCCAUCCAUUUUUUAUCAUUUUUUUGUCUUUUUUUUGUCUUUUUUUUGUCAAUUUUUUUGUCAUUUUUUGUCAAUUUUUUUGUCAUUUUUUGUCACUCUUUGUCCAUUUUUUACCAUUUUUUGUCUUUUUUUUUGUCAAUUUUUUUGUCAUUUUUUGUCACUUUUUGUCCAUUCCACCACCACGUGCACGGCGUCGAAGAGCAGCGCGGCCGACAGCUGCGCCACCGGGGACACCUUUCCUCAACUUUUUACCACUUUUUGCCUUUUUUUGUCCAUUUUUUGGUCAUUUUUUGGCAAUUUUUUGUCAAUUUUUUGUCAUUUUUUGGCAAGUUUUUUGUCAUUUUUUGGCAAUUUUUUCUCAAUUUUUUGGUCAUUUUUUGUCACUUUUUGUCCAUUCCACCACCACGUGCACGGCGUCGAAGAGCAGCGCGGCCGACAGCUGCGCCACCGGGGACACCUUUUCUCAACUUUUUACCACUUUUUG